GUGAGGAAUAUUGGUCAAUGGGCGCGAGCCUGAACCAGCCAAGUCGCGUGAGGGAAGAAUGGUCCAUGGCCUGUAAACCUCUUUUGUCAAGGAAGAAUAGACGGCACGCGUGCUGUUUUGCCAGUACUUGACGAAUAAGCAUCGGCUAACUCCGUGCCAGCAGCCGCGGUAAUACGGGGGAUGCGAGCGUUAUCCGGAUUUAUUGGGUUUAAAGGGCGCGUAGGCGGGACGCCAAGUCAGCGGUAAAAGACUGCAGCUAAACUGUAGCACGCCGUUGAAACUGGCGACCUUGAGACGAGACGAGGGAGGCGGAACAAGUGAAGUAGCGGUGAAAUGCUUAGAUAUCACUUGGAACCCCGAUAGCGAAGGCAGCUUCCCAGGCUCGAUCUGACGCUGAUGCGCGAGAGCGUGGGUAGCGAACAGGA
rnacentral:rRNA from 1 species